CUACGGGAGCUGCAGUAAGGAAUAUUGCGCAAUGGAGGCAACGCUGAGGUAGCCAUGCCGCGUGCAGGAAGCAGGCCUUAUGGGUCGUAAACUUCUUUUCUUUCGGAAGAAACAGCCGAACGUGUUCGGGGCUGAAGGUACUAAACGAAUAAGCACCGGCUAACUCCGUGCCAGCAGCCGCGGUAAUACGGAGGGUGCAAGCGUUAUCCGGAUUUAUUGGGUUUAAAGGGUGCGCAGGCGGGCUAUUAAGUCAGUGGUGAAAUCCCGGGGCUCAACUCCGGAACUGCCAUUGAUACUGAUAGUCUUGAGUUUGGUUGAAGUGGGCGGAAUGUAGCAUGUAGCGGUGAAAUGCAUAGAUAUGCUACAGAACACCAAUCGCGAAGGCAGCUCACUAAGCCAAAACUGACGCUCAUGCACGAAAGCGUGGGGAUCAAACAGGAUUAGAUACCCCGGUAGUC
rnacentral:rRNA from 1 species